CCUCCGUCGAAAAAAAAAAAACCCUGUCCAACGUUUGACCGUCCGUCUUAUUUUAAACAAAUUAUAAAAAAAUAAAAAAACAAGUCACGUAUAAAAUAUUAAUCAUGUUUUAUCAUCUAACAACAAUAAAAAUACAAAUUAUAGAAAAUUUCAUAUAAGACGGACAGUCAAAAUUGGACACGGAAACUCAGAGUUUGCUUUUUU
rnacentral:pre_miRNA from 1 species